GUCUACAGCGAUGCCACCCUGAACAAGCCUGAUCUUGUCUGAUCUCGGGAGCUAAGCAGGGCAGGGCCUGGUUAGUACUUGGAUGGGAGGCCACCUAGGAAGACCAGGUGCUGUAGGCA
rnacentral:rRNA from 1 species